rnacentral:misc_RNA from 1 species
GAUGAAGAACGUAGCGAAAUGCGAUAAGUAAUGUGAAUUGCAGAAUUCAGUGAAUCAUCGAAUCUUUGAACGCACCUUGCGCCCUUUGGCCAUUCCGAAGGGCAUGCCUGUUUGAGUAUCAUGAACACCUCAACUCUUCAUGGUUUUCCGUGAUGAGCUUGGACUUUGGGGGUCUUGCUGGCCUAUGGUCAGCUCCUCUAAAAUAAAUCAGCUUGCCAGUGUUUGGUGGGUAUCACCGGUGUGAUAACUAUCUACGCUUGUGGUUUUCCACCAGGUAACCUUCAGCAGUGGAGGUUCGCUGGAGCUCACAGAUGUGUCUCUCCUCAGUGAGGACAGCUCUUUGAAUGUUUGAUCUCAAAUCAGGUAGGACUACCCGCUGAACUUAAGCAUAUCAAUAAGCGGAGGA